GUUUUAAUAAUUUAAUAAAAAUAUUAGUCUUGUAAACUAACAUUAGGAAGUAAGUCCUUUAAAACU
rnacentral:tRNA from 1 species